GAGGAAGGAAAAUUUUAACCUUCAACAAUUGAAUUUGAAGUGAAGGGGCCUAUAAAACAUACAUCAUCUCCUCUGAUUUGAUUCACCUUGCAGAGAAGAUUCCUGCUCAUGAACUGUUAAUAUGACUUAGCCCAGUCAGAUCGGUUUCAUUUGUGUCCUACUUCAAAUCUUUAGGCUUUUCCAUCUGUCAAAAAUGCUUGGGCGGCUGAAUGAUAAAGUCUUGUUGCUAUGGUGAUUAGUUCCAUUACCUAGGUGACAGUGUUGGCAUGAUGUCAUCACUAAAGCAACCUAACUCCAGAAAUAUUUUUAGUGUCUGUUGCAGAUGAACUACAGUAAAAACACCAUCUAUCAAUGACCCCAAAUACCCAAGAGUAUUUGAAGGAUGCUUAUUUGUAACUAACAUAUGACAGAAUAAAAAUUUAAGUGCAAGUGCAAGAGAAGCUUAGGUAUUGAACUGUAGACCCUACAUAUUAGGCAAUUACUGUGUGAAUACUACAUCCAGCAAUCUCUCUUCAGAUAGCCACUGCUGCCAGAACUUAUUUGACAUUGCUCAAUAUAAAGGCAGUCUCCUACUCAGCCUACAGAAGAACUGCAAUUCUGUGUAAGAAAAAAAGUCCUGUGUAACUUAAUAUCGUGUGUACAGCUGCAGACAUAAAUGGAUGUUUAAGAAAGAGUAAGAACAAAAUUUCAAUAUAUCAAUAAAUGAUGCUCCCCUGUAAUGCUGUCUCA
rnacentral:lncRNA from 1 species